UUCAAACAAACUGUUCAAACUUCCUUUGUCUCUCUUUUCCUGCAGGUACACCAUCAGAGAAGGAAUGCAGAUUUUCACCUAUCCACAAAGCUUGGCAAGCUCUUUACUGGGUAAAGGCCACUUAGCUCAAAUUCAGUUAGCUGGCUCCAUGAGACCUUGAAGUGUUUGGGGCUUAACUGUACAGGAAGAGAACGCUCUAUACACAGCCCUGCUGCAUUUUCUCACAAUGGGUUCUAGCUCCUCCCUUGAGGCCU
rnacentral:lncRNA from 1 species